GGGGCUGACUGGUUUCGACGUUGAGACCGUUGGCUUGUCGUGCGGCCCGAGUUGCUCAGACUCGCUAAACGGGGCACAAACACAGGUGCCAAUACUGACACCAGCUUUGCCCUGGCAGCCUAGAAACUGCUGAGGUAAUGCACACAGCGACCCGCGAGGGCACGCCGAGGACGACCCUUUGCCUUGGGAACAGAAUGAGGGUUGACAGCCGGGAAAGACCGCUGACACGUAGGGAAAGACCGACUGACCUCACGGAAAGACGUGACGAGUAUUCGGGACCCGGCUCGAAGGUAGCGUCAAGCCUGUAACACGGGAAUGGUCGUAGCACGGGAAGUCUGCACUUGACGGACGAGGGUUCGAUUCCCUCCAGCUCCACCA
rnacentral:tmRNA from 1 species